rnacentral:rRNA from 1 species
AGUGAACGCUGGCGGUAGGCCUAACACAUGCAAGUCGAACGGCAGCACAGUAAGAGCUUGCUCUUACGGGUGGCGAGUGGCGGACGGGUGAGGAAUACAUCGGAAUCUACUUUUUCGUGGGGGAUAACGUAGGGAAACUUACGCUAAUACCGCAUACGACCUACGGGUGAAAGCAGGGGAUCUUCGGACCUUUCGCGAUUGAAUGAGCCGAUGUCGGAUUAGCUAGUUGGCGGGGUAAAGGCCCACCAAGGCGACGAUCCGUAGCUGGUCUGAGAGGAUGAUCAGCCACACUGGAACUGAGACACGGUCCAGACUCCUACGGGAGGCAGCAGUGGGGAAUAUUGGACAAUGGGCGCAAGCCUUAUCCAGCCAUACCGCGUGGGUGAAGAAGGCCUUCGGGUUGUAAAGCCCUUUUGUUGGGAAAGAAAAGCAGCAGGUUAAUACCCCGCUGUUCUGACGGUACCCAAAGAAUAAGCACCGGCUAACUUCGUG